rnacentral:lncRNA from 1 species
UGCGGAGAAAGUUGGACGUAUGUAACCGAGGAGGGUUACCCUCAGUGGGAGGUGCAAGCCGCCGAACAGCUCAACAGAGACAACACGCGGAAGAUACCUAUCUAAGCCCAGACAGAAGCCCUUGAACAGCUGAAUUCGUGCUCAAUGAUUCUCAUGGUUCCGUGAUGGUGCUGAAUCCAGACGGGAAAGCAGAGUGCUGUGCAUGGGAGGCAGCUUUGGCAUUUCACAUACCAUGGACAGAGAAUACGUGGAGGGAGUCACGAGGGCGAGUUUGUCUGCAUUGCCCAGUAAUGAACCAAGUAGAAAAGAACAUGCAAAGAGUCGAGGAAGAAGGAGAGGUUGUAACGGUGAAGGAGCACUGAGAACUUGAAAGGACUGGAACGGGGAAGAGUUACAUCGUCAUCAAGGCAGGGUACUAUUUGAAAAACAAGGCAACUGGAAGACUUUGCUCAGAGGAAGGUACCCAGGAGCUGCUGCCAAAGAGCCAAAUCUCGCUUCUUCAGCUCAGCACCGUGGAGGUCGCCAUGCAGCUCUCCACGAGUUCCAAUGUUGAAUUCUUCCACAACAUUGAGCCUAAUGAAUACAUAGGUGAUUUAUUUAAACUCAAAUAAAAAACCAGCUUAGCCAACCUGAAGAAACUUGAGGAAGUCUUUAACCAGGAAACAUUUGGGUGGCUUCUGAAAUCCUGGGAGAGACAACUAGCUGAAAGAGAAUGAAGAUCUUCAAGCCUUCAUUAAGAUUGCCUCGCACUGUAGGGAAUGCAAGAAUUUUAACUCCAUGUUUGCAGUC